AUCCUCAUCCUCCUCAUCAUCAUCUAUAGAGUGAACUUGUGGACCACUGCCAGAGCUCUGUAUGACCUCUUUCUCCUCCUGAUCAUCAUCCUCAUCACCGUCUUCAUCAUCAUCGUCCUCGUCAUCAUCGUCCUCGGCGUCCACUUCCGCAUCUUCGUCAAACUCUUGGAGAUCUUCAUGAGUUGUUUCUUCCUCAAACUCGCGUUCAUCAUUGACGAUAGCCAUGUCGGAAAAUUCACCUGAGACUGAAUGAGGGGUUUGCUUGGUGAUGAAAGAGGGGAAGAUGUGAA
rnacentral:misc_RNA from 1 species